GUGCCAGCAGCCGCGGUAAUACGUAGGAGGCGAGCGUUAUCCGGAUUUACUGGGCGUAAAGCGCGUGCAGGCGGAUCGGAAAGUUGGAUGUGAAAGCUCCCGGCUUAACUGGGAGAGGUCGUUCAAAACUACCGGUCUUGAGUACAGUAGAGGGAAGUGGAAUUCCGGGUGUAGUGGUGAAUUGCGUAGAUAUCCGGAGGAACAUCAGUGACGAAGGCGGCUUUCU
rnacentral:rRNA from 1 species